UACGAAGGGUGUAAGCGUUGUUCGGAAUUACUGGGCGUAAAGGGUGCGUAGGCGGAUGAAUUAGUUAGGAGUGAAAUCCCGGGGUUUAACCUCGGAACUGCUCUUAAUACGGUUUGUCUAGAGUGUGCUAGGGGACAAUGGAAUACCCAGUGUAGAGGUUAAAUUCGUAGAUAUUGGAUAGAACACCAGUGGCGAAGGCGAUUGUCUGGGGCAUAACUGACGCUGAGGCACGAAAGCGUGGGGAGCAAAC
rnacentral:rRNA from 1 species